CCGGGCCCCGGGGCAUGUCCCCGCGGGUGCCUUCCCAGCCCGGUGCCCGCUGCCCUUCCCCGCUGGUGCCGCCGGUUCUGCGCCGGGCUGGAGCUCCCUCUGACAGCCCCGGCUGGGUCAGAGCCGGACAGACCGCCUCGUGGGUAGGGCUUGUCUGCCCGGGGGUCUGCAGUGUUCCUCUGCUGGUGUGAGCGAGAUGGGGCGCAAUGCCUUUUUUUUGUCUCGUGUCUGGACUGUCUUAUGGUAGUCUGUACCAGGAAUUCCUGAGAAAUCAGCUAAGCCUGUGCAGGGAUGAGGUGUGAAGUGAGCAUCGCUGAAAAAGGAGCAGCACCUAGGAAAGACAGUACAAGGAGCCAGUGUUGGGACUCUUCAUCCUGAGGUCUGCAGUGGGAAAGGCACCAGUGCAGGUGUGAGGCAGCCAGCGUUGGCUGCAACCUGAUCAGGCUUAUCACUCAGGAGGGGUGCUUGUCACUUGCCAGUGUGACACACUGGCCAGCCAUGCAUGUACAGACAGUACCUGCUUUAUCCUGAAACCUGAAUGGAUGACAAAAGUGUUUCCCCAGGCCACCUGUUUCGUGUUUGUGUACGUUCAUUGCAGUCUUCAAUUUUUUUGGCUAUAUUACUCAUAGGGAUAAUGAUGCUCUGAGUCCUGGUGCUUUGAGCAGAAGGUGCAGGAGAAAGAUGGCAUGGAAAGAGAAAGAAAUCACAGUCUCCCUUGGAGCAACUUCUGCAUGAUGAGAAAAGAUGUGAUGGUGCAAGAGCACUGUCAGAGCUUUCCCAAGGACUCCUUUGGUGCUGUGUGAAAAGUCUUCCAGGUUGUUGGCAGAAGUGCAUUUCCCUUCAUCAAAGAUACUUUGCUCAGUGUUUGUGACUGCCAGUGAAGUCUGUUCUUUAGUUGUAUACUGGAGAGGGAAGUUCUGGUAGCCUGGCUCAGCUAGCAGCCUUUGAAUUCGAGGACCAGUGCAGGCAGUCUGAUUCCUUGUGUUUGAACAUGAUGUAUGCAGGAUGUGGAUUGAAAAACGUUGAGAACAACAAGUGAAUCAUAAGAUCCUUUUGUCUGUUGAGCUUUCUGCACCAGGGAGUCGCUUUCUUAGAAAAUAGAUAGCUAUGCAGAAGGGCAAGGAGAAAUGGAGUACUUGAACCUGCUGAUGGCCUGUGUGAGAAACACAUCAAAAGCUACCACUGUGAUCCGUAUAAAUAAUAAAUAAAAGGUUGAAUAAAAGGCUUUUCAGUGCAGUUGUGAUACUGGUAUUCAUCCUAGUGGUGCUUCCUGUUGCUCAAGAAAAGACACCUUGUCUUUGAGGAGUACCGAGGCUGGGUUUCUUUGCACUUGCCUCUGCUUUCAUUCAGUCUGCGAGGCAGGAAGUACUUUCUUUCUCUUGGCAAUUCUUAGCAACCUUAUCCCAACUUCUUCAGACUUCUGGGUCUGGAGUAGAGUCCUGAUUAAGUGACUGUUCUUACAAGCUUGUCAGCUCAGUUUCUCCUACACUGUCACGGCACAGCUCAGGCUUAUUUUGGAAAGCACGGCUUCCUUGAAGCUCUGGGUGGAUGACGAUGCAAGAACAAGGUGGCAGUGUGGUUGAUGUCCAGCUUCCUCUUUCACAGGUGUAUGUUCUCUCUUGCUCUAAAUUUCAUCUUGCUGCUUUGGUUGCUUUUUAGCCAAGUGAGCAAAAUAAAAAGAUUUUCUUUCUCUUUAAUGUUUUUGUCACCUCCUGCCUCUUUCAUAUGAACCCACCGAUUGUUUUUUCAGACCCUCAGCUAAGGAAUUCCUUUGGGUUGUAUGUAUGUGAUCUGGAGGAUGCAGUUGUGUCCAAAUCUUUCAAUUAAGCAAAACCAUAGAAGGUGAGGUGAAAGAGUGGAAUUCUCUCAAGUUUCCUGUUCCUAUUACUGAAAGGCCUUAUGGCUUGUUCCUUUUGAGUGUGUUCACAGGCUUUACAACAGAAAUCCACAAUGAAGCUUUUGUAAAGCCUGCCAAACAAAUUGAUCUGAACUGGCUUAUCUUUUGUCACCUGUGCUUUUCACAUGUGUUAAGCAACUGAACUUCCUCAUAUGCAACUUGAAUGUUGUAACAAUUUUAAUUUAGUCACAAAUACACACAAAUCAUUAUGACCAAGGCAGGCUUCCUUCUUCAGGAGUAUUUCUUGUUAAAGUCUUGUUAAAGUUUUUUUUUUUUUAUGGGAAAUAUAAAUUUUUCCUUGUAACUCAGUGUCAUUUGACAGUAAGCAAAGUAAGUGUAAAAACACAUCCAUUGGCAUUGAUAUGGUUGCAGUUAGUUCAGUGAUAAGUGCCAUUGAAGGCAUUAGAUACCGUGUACCCUGAGACAACUCAUUUGAUGAAUAAUGGUACAUUGGCAUUGUGCAGUCAAACUUACCUGUGAUAUUGUCAGCUACUUCAUUACAGUGCUCAGCUAACUACACUGGUCCAACAGGUAUGUCAGCUGCAAAGAGGUGCUUACCUUGGAUAUGGAAUGCCAUAGAUCUUGGCUUUUUUCAAGGAGUAUCCAAGUAGAUAAACCAGCUUGUGCUGCUUUUGCCAAGCUUGAACACCUUUGAAAUAGCAGGAAAAAUUAUGCUUGUUCUAGAAAAAUCUGGCUAACCACUAUGUAUAGGAAGAUGUAGUCAAAUUUUAGGGAAUGUUUCUGCUGCUUGGAAAUUCUUCUCAAAGAAUUCCUACAGCCUGUGUGGUGAAUUCUAAUGCAGAAGGAAAAAAAUAUACCGUGUUAAGUGUCUAGGUGAGUGCUUUUGCUGUAAUGAGAAGAUGCGUUGUUUCUGCUGCAAAUCUGACACCUGCACAGCUGUUCAAGAGGUGCCUCCUGGCUCUUGCUUAUGCCUCAGGUAAAUGGUAACUGUUCCUGUGUAUCCAGAGGCAGUCUGAGGUAGCAUGUCACCAUACUGCAAAGGAAGCCUUAAACCACCCAACCCCCAGUUAAGAAAACAGUAGACAGUUUUUUUAUUUGUAUCCUAGGAUAUCUGAAGCUGUGCCAGAAGUACCUUGAAGACAUUUACUGCUUUAUGAAUGGAGAUAAGCCUUUCCCAAGGUGUAUAGAUUGGUAUAUAUGUAUUGCAGAAAAUAAAACACAAAGCCAAGAAGGAAAUACUUCUGACUGUCCUAUGCAUCUUUUUUU